CGUAGGUGCAAGCGUUAAUCGGAAUUACUGGGCGUAAAGCGUGCGCAGGCGGUUGUGCAAGACCGAUGUGAAAUCCCCGGGCUUAACCUGGGAAUGGCAUUGGUGACUGCACGGCUAGAGUGUGUCAGAGGGGGUAGAAUCACGUGUAGCAGUGAAAUAGCGUAGAGAUGUGGAGGAAUACCGAUGGCGAAGGCAGCCCCGUCGGGAUAACACUGACGCUCAUGCACGAAAGACGUGGGAGGCAAACAGGAUU
rnacentral:rRNA from 1 species